UCUCCUUUUAAAAACAAAACGAAGCUUUGAGAGAGAUGGAUAGCGUUCGGCAUCGAAUUCGCAUUUCCAGGAAAUUUUCAGGCCGAGAAUAAAACAAAAACAGUCGAGCGCUCGAUUCUCUCAAGGGCAAGAAAGAGAUCUUCAUUCCGAUAUAGUAUUUUGACGAGUGCGGAUCUCUGAAGAUAUUGAUUAGUUUCAUUUUAAUCGCGCAUCUUUUUAUUGAACAUUUAUAUUCUAACUUUAUUAAUUUUAAUAUUGUUAGAAAUCUAUUAUUGGAUAGAAUAAUAUAGGAAUUUGUAUAAUUUUUAUUUUAGAAAAUUUAUAAAACAAUUGGAUCCCUGUAAGCAAAGUACGUCAAAUACUUUGGUACAUUUCAAAAAUAUUCAGUUUUAAAAAAUUUUAAUUUAUCAAAUAUUCAUUAUGAUUAAUAAUUUUAGAUAAUAUAUUCUCUAAUGUGUUGCCUUCAGAGAUGAUUUACAGGAAAUGUUUUAUUCUUUCUUGUUCUAUAAUCUAUUGUAUGUUUCAGCUUUUAUUAAGUUCAGUUUUUAUUAAUCAUUAGAGUCAGUGUUUUUUUUGCUCGUAUCGUUGGAAUUUAUUUCUAUAUUUGAAUAAGUUUAUUAAAUAAAGUAUUAAAUUGUUUAAUAUAAAUUCGCGAAUUAGAAUCAGUGUUUGUUCGUAAUAAGUGUAAUUUUGUUUUAUAACUAAAAGUAAUCUGGUUAAAUAAAAUUAGAUUUAAUAUAAAUUCGCGUUGUAGAGUCAGUGUUAGUACAUAUUCAUCUUGUCCUGGGGCAGGAUGCUCAUCGUGCAAAGGAUCAACAAAGGCUCUGCUCAAAUAAAAGAAGAAUCACAUCCUCUUCAUCGUCCUGGGGGGCAGGAUGCUCAUCGUGCAAGCCUCAAUGAAGAUUUUAAAAAACCAUUGCAAUCGCGCGCGAAGCAAUGAAUAAAAUCGAGUGUUGUAUCGCUAAAAUAAAAACCAAAAAGUCGCGAAGUAGAAGCAGUGUUUGUUCGUUCGCGUUUCGCGAUUUAAACAGCAAGUGUUUUUGCGUCGAUUGCGUGCAAUGCAGUCGUUAGAAUCAGUGUUUGUUCUCAAAGUAAUUUGCUUUUUUAACAGUUGCAUAGUAUAUUCAUAAAAGGUGGUAGACUUUCUCGAAUUAACUUCAGUGAUCGUCCGUUAAAAAAUAACUACCGCGUAUUAGAGUCAGUGCAUCAUUGAAGAGGAUCCUCGACCAACUUCGAUGUCGACCUACCUCAUUUUCAACCAGCUACGAAUCAUCCACCCUCAAUUUCGACCUAAAUCGUGGACGAGUGUUUUGGAGCCAUCGCAGAACUUCUUAAGUAGUAAGUGAACAAAUUUUGAGUCCCUCCAGUGCUCAAUCAUGCCGAGGACGAAAGGUCCGAAUCGGCACGAGUUACUGGUUGUAAUUUUUUAAAUAAAUUAUCGACGAGCAUGACCG